CCGCGACGGCUCAUUAUAACAGCUAUGAUUUACUUGAUCUUGAACAGUUACUCGGAUAACUGUGGUAAUUCUAGAGCUAAUACGUGCACCGAAGCUACCUCUUGCGGGGUAGUGCAUUUAUUGGAGCAAAACCAAGCGGCUUCGGCCGUUUUUGCUGACUCAGAAUAACUAAGCUGAUCGUAUGGGCUUGUCCCGACGACGUGUCUUUCAAGUGUCUGCCUUAUCAACUUUCGAUGGUAGUGUACGUGACUACCAUGGUGUUGACGGGUAACGGAGGAUAAGGGUUCGACUCCGGAGAAGGGGCCUGAGAAAUGGCCACUACGUCUAAGGAUGGCAGCAGGCGCGCAAAUUACCCACUCUCGGCACGAGGAGGUAGUGACGAAAAAUAACGAGACCGUUCUCUACGAGGCCGGUCAUCGGAAUGGGUACAACUCAAACCCUUUAACGAGUAUCAAUGAGAGGGCAAGUCUGGUGCCAGCAGCCGCGGUAAUUCCAGCUCUCAAAAUGCAUAGAAUCAUUGCUGCGGUUAAAAAGCUCGUAGUUGGAUCUGUGCUGGCGACGUGGUCCACCUUAACGGGUGGUACUGCGCUCGUCGGCUUUGGGCYGGUCUUCGGUCGGUCGCCUUCACUGGUGGCUGCUCGUGGCUGGCUGGUUUACUUUGAGCAAAUCGGAGUGCUCAGCACAGGCGUAUCGCCGGAACGUUCGUGCAUGGAAUAAUAGAAAAGGAUCACGGUCCUUUUUAUUGGUUUUAAGGACUGAGAUAAUGGUUAACAGAGACGAACGGGGGCAUUCGUAUUGCUGCGUUAGAGGUGAAAUUCUUGGACCGCAGCAGGACGGACUACAGCGAAAGCAUUUGCCAAGCGCGUCUUCAUUAAUCAAGAACGAAAGUCAGAGGUUCGA
rnacentral:rRNA from 1 species